rnacentral:lncRNA from 1 species
GCCCAGAGGGGGUCCCGAACCAAAAGAGGGAGUAGGUCAGGUCAAACAUCAAGGUGUCCUAAAAAUAUACAGCCUUGUUUAUGUUGUCCUUAGAGUGGUUUGUCACUUAGAUGGGCUUCUUUGAAAUUUACUCUCACCAAUAUCAUUUUUAUUAUGCAGUUAAUCACUGGAGAGAAGGGGGAAAGGGAGUGUAUCUGAAUGCUUCUAUUUCAUUUGCUUAAUGGAGCGCUCAGAGUAGGAGAGACAAAGCUCCCUAAUCAUUUAUUUUAGUAACAGGAGAACCCAGGAGGCAGAGGUUGCAGUGAGCCAAGAUCAUGCCACUGCACUCCAACCUGGGUGACAGAGUGAGACUGUCUCAAAAAAAAAAAAGAAAAAGAAAAAAGAAAGGGAGGCUGUUAUUGCACAAUGGGGACAGGGAGGAAUAUGUAUGGAACCCAGGUGACCCACUUGGGUACCUCUUGGUAUUUCCCUGCUCAAUUAUUACUGUUAAUGAACAGGUAUAGACACCCAGGCAUGAGAAGAUCAUGGUGAUGAAGGGCUCAUAACCUUGUUGAUAAGGAUCUGGGUUACACUACCAGGUAAGCCAACAAAGGUAGGGGAGAACACAGGCAUGUUCUCCCAGACUCCUUCCAGGAAGAACUAGCUCUGAGGCAGAGUACAGUCAGCAGAGAGCUUCCAGCUUUCAGCUCUGCCUCAGCGGCAGAGUCAGCUCG